rnacentral:rRNA from 1 species
UAGAAAAAUUUUAAAAGUAAGUUCUGCCCUAUGAUUAUUUAAAUGGCUGCAGUAUUCUGACUGUGCAAAGGUAGCGUAAUAAUUAGUCUUUUAAUUGAAGGCUUGUAUGAAUGGAUAAAUGAGAAAUUUUUUUUAUUGAUUUUAUUUUUGUAAUUUGAUUUUUAGGUAAAAAAGCUUAACUUUUUUUUUGGGACGAUAAGACCCUAUANAACUUUAAUAUUUUAUUUAUUUUAUUAUUAUUUUAGUUUUAUUAUUUUUUACUAUUUAAAUUAUUUUUGUUGGGGCGAUGGAUAAAUUUAACUUUAUUUUUAUUUUUCAUUUAUUUAUGUUAUUUUGAUCCUUUUUAAAGAUUAUAANAUUAAGUUACCUUAGGGAUAACANCGUAAUUUUAAUGGGGAGUUCUUAUUUAUAUUAAAGUUUGCGACCUCGAUGUUGAAUUAAGAUAAGAUUGAGGGGUAG